rnacentral:rRNA from 1 species
UACGUAGGUGGCAAGCGUUGUCCGGAAUCAUUGGGCGUAAAGAGCGUGUAGGCGGUCCGGUAAGUCCGUUGUGAAAGUCAGGGGCUCAACCCUUGAAUGCCGGCGGAUACUGUCGGGCUAGAGUCCGGAAGAGGCAAGUGGAAUUCCCGGUGUAGCGGUGAAAUGCGCAGAUAUCGGGAGGAACACCUAUGGCGAAGGCAGCUUGCUGGGACGGUACUGACGCUGAGACGCGAAAGCGUGGGGAGCAAACAGG